AAUUCGAAGCAGCGCGAAGAACCUUACCAAAUCUUGACAUCCUUUGACCGCUCUAGAGAUAGAGUCUUCCCCUUCGGGGGACAAAGUGACAGGUGGUGCAUGGUUGUCGUCAGCUCGUGUCGUGAGAUGUUGGGUUAAGUCCCGCAACGAGCGCAACCCUUAAGCUUAGUUGCCAUCAUUAAGUUGGGCACUCUAAGUUGACUGCCGGUGACAAACCGGAGGAAGGUGGGGAUGACGUCAAAUCAUCAUGCCCCUUAUGAUUUGGGCUACACACGUGCUACAAUGGACAAUACAAAGGGCAGCUAAACCGCGAGGUCAAGCAAAUCCCAUAAAGUUGUUCUCAGUUCGGAUUGUAGUCUGCAACUCGACUACAUGAAGCUGGAAUCGCUAGUAAUCGUAGAUCAGCAUGCUACGGUGAAUACGUUCCCGGGUCUUGUACACACCGCCCGUCACACCAGCGAGAGUUUGUAACACCCGAAGCCGGUGGAGUAACCAU
rnacentral:rRNA from 1 species